rnacentral:rRNA from 1 species
AGCAGCCGCGGUAAUUCCAGCUCCAAUAGCGUAUAUUAAAGUUGUUGCAGUUAAAAAGCUCGUAGUUGAACUUCGGGGUUUACCCAUUGGUCAGGCUUAAUUGUCUGUACUGGUGAGAUGAAUCUCUACCUUCUGAGGAACUUUCAUGCCAUUUAUUUGGUGUGAUGGGAAAUCAGGACUGUUACUUUGAAAAAAUUAGAGUGUUUAAAGCAGGCUAACGUCUGAAUACAUUAGCAUGGAAUAAUGAAAUAGGACGGACUGAUUCUAUUUCGUUGGUUUCUAGGAUCACCGUAAUGAUUAAUAGGGAUAGUUGGGGGCAUUAGUAUUCAAUUGUCAGAGGUGAAAUUCUUGGAUUUAUUGAAGACUAACUACUGCGAAAGCAUUUGCCAAGGAUGUUUUCAUUAAUCAAGAACGAAAGUUAGGGGAUCGAAGACGAUCAGAUACCGUCGUAGUCUUAACCAUAAACUAUGCCGACUAGGGAUCGGACGAAGUUAAUUUUAUAAUGACGCGUUCGGCACCUUACG